AACUCUCUCAACUACUGCAGCCGACAUCAUCAAGAUCCACCGCUCCACGGCAAUCCGGCAUCCACCGCUCCACCGCUCCACCGCACCGGCAUCAAGAUCCUCCCCUGUCCGCCUGCAUCCACCGCCGGCCAUCCACCACGCACAGCACUCCGGCAGUUCAAAAAUCACAGGUUAUCAUCAAUAUGAGUGAAUCUCAAAAGAAGGUGGGAAAGAAGAAGGAUAAGAAGUUUGUGAUUUGCCGUUUAUGGAUUUUUGUUUUAAACUUGUUAAGUAUUCGGUAUUUAUGGAUUAUUUAAGCUGUUUGUGAACUUUUGGCGAGUUUUGUUUCACUAAACAGGUUCUAAAUAUGUGAUUAUUUUAGUGUUCA